rnacentral:rRNA from 1 species
UACAGAGGUCUCAAGCGUUGUUCGGAUUCAUUGGGCGUAAAGGGUGCGUAGGUGGCGCUGUAAGUCGGGUGUGAAAUUUCGGAGCUUAACUCCGAAACUGCAUUCGAUACUGCGGUGCCUGAGGACUGGAGAGGAGACUGGAAUUCAUGGUGUAGCAGUGAAAUGCGUAGAGAUCAUGAGGAAGACCAGUGGCGAAGGCGGGUCUCUGGACAGUUCCUGACACUGAGGCACGAAGGCCAGGGGAGCAAACGGG